rnacentral:lncRNA from 1 species
AGCCCCCUUUAUUUAUUUAUACGUGGUGCUAAGAAUCAAACCCAGUGCCUCACACACGCCUGGCAAGUGCGCUGCUGCUGAGCCCCAGCCCUUUUUGUUGUUGUUGUUGUUUUGUUUUCUUAUGUCAAGUUCAUAUCAACACAAAAUGAGUUGGAGAGCAGGGUGUGGUGGUGCACGCCUGUAAUCCUACCAGUUUGGGAGGACUGCAAAUUAGAAGCCAGCCUCAGCAACUCAGCAUGACAGUCUCAAAAAAUAAAAAGGGCAGGGAUUGUGGCUUAGUGGUAAAGUACCCUGGGUUCAAUCCCCAGUACCAAGACAAAUAAAUUAGAUUAAAUUAUAUCACAGAUUGGGGAUGUAGGUCAUGUAUAGUGCAUUUGCCUAGCAUGUACAAGGCUCUGGGUUAAAUCCCUAUUACCACCAAACAAAGAUUGGAAUUCUGGAUUUCUAAAAUGUUUAGUAAAAUUUUCUGUAAAACUAACUUGGCAUUUCUUAAGGAGGUGACUAGAUUUUGACUUAGAUUUUUGUUUUGUUUUUGUGAUGCUGGGAAUGGAAUCCAGAGCCUUGUACAUGCCAGACAGGUGCUUUUCCACUGAGUUACACCCAGCUCUGAACUUUUAGUGGUGAUAGAUUAGUAAGGUUUCCUGUUCUUGAGUCAGUUAUACUCUCAAGGAAAAAUACUUCCAUAUUUUCUCAUUUUAAGUAUGGCUUCAAAUCUACUGGCACAAGUUAUCUGUAGACUUACCUUAUGUUUAUAAGGUAAAUCUGUAUCCAUAGUUAUUUCCUUUUCAUAUCAAAUAUCAUUUAUGCUUUCUCCUUGUAUCCCUGUCACUCUUGGCAGAAGUUCAUUAUUAGUCUCUUCAAAGCACCAGCUUUUUGCCUUCAUUCCCAUUCAUUAGUACCUGUUUCUAUUUCAUGAAUUUUGGCUCUUGUCAUAUUUUCCACUUACACCCCUUUGGGCUUAUUCUGUAGCUCUUCUCCCCACAUUUGUAGUUGUACUUAGCUCCUAGUUGUUCAGCUUUUCCUCCUCCAAACCAAACAUGAGAAUUUUCAAACUUAAAUAAAGGUUGAAUUGUAAAAUAAUGCCCAUAUCCCUUCAACAGAGUCAGCUAAGAGCAUUUUGCCAUAUUCUAUUUAUACACACAGCAUUGUUACUUUUAGUUAAUAUCUCUUUAGUUACUUUUAAUUUAGAAGAAACCCCUUAACUUUUUUCUUUAUAGAAUUGGCUAUUUUGACAAGCUCAAUCACCCGACAGAAAUAUCCGGUGUUGGAUUUGUAUGAUUGCUUUUGCGUGCUUAGAUUUGAGACAAACAGCUUUAGCACCAACAGCACAGGACCAAGGUCUUACUGCACCUCUUGAUAUAAAAGUAUGGUGUCCUGUUGUUUCUGAGUGACUACUCUAGGUAGUGCAAGUAAGGGACAUCACAUGCUUCAGGAGGAGAGGUCUGGUUACAGCAGAUACUGAUUUUAAUCACCUGGGAAAAGGGGGUGGCUUCUAAACUUUUUCCAUGUUGUUAUGGUGGAUAUGAGGUAUCCCCCAAAAGCUCCUGCUAAUGCAGGAUUAAUCAGAGGUGAAAGGUCAGAUUACAAGAGCUGUAAUCUAAUCGGUCCAUCUUAUUUGGACAGACUAGGUGGUCAUUGUAGGCAGGUAGGGUGUGACUGGAGGAGCGGGUCACUGGGGGCAUGACCUGGAAGGGUGCCUCUUCCCUGUGGACCUUCCCCCUUUUCUCUCUGCUUCCUGGCUGCCAUGAGGGGAGCAGCUUCCCUUCCCUACACCCUGCCCCCAUGAUAUUCUGCCUCACUGUAGGCCCAGAGCUAUGGAGUCAGCCACUUAUGGACUGAGACCUCUGAUCAUGAACCAAAAUAAACUUUACCCUGUCUAAGUUGUUCUUUUAAUGUUUUGAUCACAGUGACACAAAAGC